GAGAAACUGAAUAUCCCAUGCCUGGAAAUAUAUAGGUAACACAUCCUUCCCCCACCUCCCCCCCGCAACUCUUCCUUCCUUCCUUCCUUCUUCCCACCAACAUUUAUUGAGCACCAGCUGUAUGCCAGGCAUUGGAAACAUAUCAGGGAACAAAACCAAGUCUCUGCUGUUGCUCUGUUGUCGUCGUGGAGGGACUUUCCGUGCCUGCGAGACUGUAGAUGUCCCUGAGGCAGAAGGCAAGCAAGGGUGUUUGUCGAACACUUUCUCCGAGCUGUUCCGUGUGCUCUCCAUGUACUCACUCAGCUCAGCCUCAGCACAGCCCCCUGAAGUGUUUACAACACCAAGGCCCAGAGAGGGCCGGUGACUUGCCCAAAGUCACACAGCAGCCAGGGGCAGAGGCGGGAGUGAGCCCGGGCUCCCUCUCCAGGGACACGGCAGCCCAUGAUGAGGACGGUAGGACACAGGUUUCUCUCCGUGGCCCGGGCCCUUGUUUCACAGGCUGCCGCUUCGGGCUGCAUCAGCCAGCAGACCCUCUAAGCUCCCCGCAGCAGAAGCCCGCAAAGCCAGUGGUGACAUUCCCGCCUCCCGCAGACGGCCCCUUCACCCCACCUCCAUUCCCACAGCUUGGGGCACCACCCAGGCCCAUCCCGCCAGGUAGAACACCCGCCCCGCCCCAGGCUCCCUGGGCCCAGGGUCACCUCCCCAGGGAGUGGACGCCACUCCCAGCCCGAGACCCAGCCUGGUUUCUCUUUCUGGCGGCAUCUGCCGUCCCCGCUUCUGUCACCCACAACUAUUCUGGGCCUCUGGCCCCUUUCACUUUCUGCUCUGCCUCUUCCUGCCUCGGUGGUUCCCCGACACCCCGUGCUCCCCCUUACCCGCCCCAGCUUUCUCUCCAUACCCCUGUCUCCCCAGGGCUCAGCCCUAAAGUCAGAGAGGCCAGAGGCAAGGCGUACGCAGAGUGUGAGUCCUCACUCUGUGCUUCCCUGGCUAGGUGACCUUGGCCAGCCUCUUCGCUGUGCACCUGACAUCUCCAUCUGGAAAGUGGGAUGCUACUCGUGCUUGCCUUGCAGCGCCCCUGGCGGACCGCAGCUCCUUGGAGAACCUCCCAGCGAUCUCAUCCCAGCAGGGGAUCCCCACAGAGUGGGAGCACAGGUCUCCUUCCGCACCAACCCCCCAUCACCCCCGACUGGACUGCCAAAGUCCCAUCCCCCGCAGGCUGGGUGCUGAGAAUACGGCAGGGGUGAGGGGCAGCCAAGACAGCCCUGGGUUGGGCUCCAGCUCUGCUCUGCUGUGGCCAAGUCCCUGCCCCUUUGUGGACCUCAGUUUCCACGUCUAUGAAGUGAGGCAUCCGGACACAGGCAGAGUCCUGGAGGCAGAGCUAAAGGAGCCCACGGGAUGAUGGGAGCCCCAAGUCCCUUGACUUGGGCAGAAAGCAGUUCUAGGAAGGCUCCUGGGAGAGGAGACCCAUGAGCAGAGUUUCUAAGGAUAAUCGUAUUCAUGAGUCCUAGAAGGUCGGCCCAAGCAGUCCAGAGGGAGAAAUUGGCAGGUGCAAAGGCUCAGGGGCAGGGGUUUGGGAGGAGGGAGAAGGAAUGAGGCUAGUCUUCUGGAGCAGAUCUCACAGCCUGCUACCCUUCGGUCAGACCCUGCCCACCCAGGCCAUGGGGAGCAACUGGAGGGCUAUGAGCUCCUGUCGCCAAGUCCAGCUUCUGGAGGCAGAAGCCAAACCUUAUCCAUCUGUGAUUUUCUUGCAUCCAGCCAUGGCAUCCUGGCAGGAAGAUGGAGUCAAUGAACAGAUGACAUGUCCUGGUCCUCUAAAAGGCCUCGCGUCUGACGAGCAGGCACCCACUGAAGCUGUCAGUCCCCUGUGUCACUGGCUAUUGCUGCAUAAACCAGCCUCCCCGAAAAAGUGAUGGCAAACGGGACACACUUACUACUGCUCACGAGUCUGUGGCUCGGCUAGGUCUGCCUUGCGUGUCCGGUGAUCCUUGGUGAUGAGUUCCUAUUACAGCGCGGGAAGCUGAGAACAGGUUAUGGAAGCCACGUGCCCGGAGGCAGGGCGUGUGGACCCCCUCGGGGGCAGUGCAGAGGACAGCGGCGGCUGCCAGAGUGUGAGCCAGCCCAGCCCCGCGGCCCUGCCUGACGUUGGUCCCCACCAAGCCAUGUGACGCGACCAGGCCACAAGAAAGAGGUUUCAACAAGCGUUAUCGGUUCCUGGAACUCCGACUCGGCGGCUUCCCCGAAGAAGACCGGCUGUGUGCGACGGUCCCUGCUGCCCCUUUCCUCCUCCGCUGUCCCCGCAACCGCCCCCCCCCCCCG